AGUGAACGCUGGCGGUAGGCCUAACACAUGCAAGUCAAACGGCAGCACAGUAAGAGCUUGCUCUUACGGGUGGCGAGUGGCGGACGGGUGAGGAAUACAUCGGAAUCUACUUUUUCGUGGGGGAUAACGUAGGGAAACUUACGCUAAUACCGCAUACGACCUACGGGUGAAAGCAGGGGAUCUUCGGACCUUGCGCGAUUGAAUGAGCCGAUGUCGGAUUAGCUAGUUGGCGGGGUAAAGGCCCACCAAGGCGACGAUCCGUAGCUGGUCUGAGAGGAUAAUCAGCCACACUGGAACUGAGACACGGUCCAGACUCCUACGGGAGGCAGCAGUGGGGAAUAUUGGACAAUGGGCGCAAGCCUGAUCCAGCCAUACCGCGUGGGUGAAGAAGGCCUUCGGGUUGUAAAGCCCUUUUGUUGGGAAAGAAAAGCAGCAGGUUAAUACCCCGCUGUUCUGACGGUACCCAAAGAAUAAGCACCGGCUAACUUCGUG
rnacentral:rRNA from 1 species